UACGUAGGGUGCGAGCGUUGUCCGGAAUUAUUGGGCGUAAAGAGCUUGUAGGCGGUCUGUCGCGUCUGCUGUGAAAAUCCGGGGCUCAACCCCGGACUUGCAGUGGGUACGGGCAGACUAGAGUGUGGUAGGGGAGACUGGAAUUCCUGGUGUAGCGGUGAAAUGCGCAGAUAUCAGGAGGAACACCGAUGGCGAAGGCGGCUCUCUGGUACGUGACUGACGCUGAGACGCGAAAGCGUGGGGAGCAAACAGG
rnacentral:rRNA from 1 species